rnacentral:rRNA from 1 species
GCAGUUGGCUCCUUUUGGUGUCAGGUGAUUUGACUGGGCGGGUCCAAUACCAGCCGGACUCACCUUGCCUUUAGGCUGUGGGGUUCUGCCGGCUGUGAGGGUUGGCUGUUCAACUCACUUUAAGCAAUUAAUUCUGAAUGCAGAUCUACUGGCUGGCUUUGCUGGCUGCAGRCUGAUUAAUACAGACAACUCUCAACAACAGAUAUCUUGGCUCCCGKAACGAUGAAGAACGCAGCGAAAUGCGAUACGUAGUGUGAAUUGCAGAAUUCCGUGAACCAUCGAAUCUUUGAACGCAAAUUGCGCUCCAGGCCUCGGCCAAGAGCAUGUCUGCCUCAGCGUCGGCUACUACCCUCAACUAAGUUUCCUAUUCUCAUAGGGGAUGCCGGUUGGAUCUGGCUGUCCAGCGUUCCUUUGAGGAUGCAGGUCAGCUGAAAUACAUUCACGUGUGGGAGCUCUUUCCUUUCGGGGAAAGGCGAGUUCC